GGGCGGAAGUGGCUUCUGCCCUUGGACGAGGUACAACACUUUGUGGAUGUGACGCCACAACGGAAGUGAAGGCGGGUUCUGCUAAGGGCAAAGCUGAACCUUCGGAAGUGCGGCCGCGGGCUUCCGGAAGGGACUUCUGGGGAAGUGGGAGGGUGGCAACGCGACAGGUUCAUGAAUUAUGUAUCAAGGUAUGAGCGGAGGUAUGGAUUCUUAAAGUCUACGGUCCCAUUUCCCUUCCCUCAGGGGAAAUAGGCAGUUACCGUUCUUUUUUAUUAUACUGUACUCUUAAGAAUGUCUCAAUGCUUUGAAUGUGCGGGAAAGUGCUGGAUGUAUCAGAAGUGUUCUGAGAUCCCUGCUUAAGCCUGAAGAGUAACUAUUAACUUCUAGCCAUCAAAAUCUGAUCCGUUCCUGACCACACCCCUUAUUCUUUUUGCUUUGGUUGCUGUUUUUAUAGCUAUCACUGUCUCAUCCUGCUUCACAUUUAAACAUGGCACUCAUCCCUACCUGAUAUGUUGUUUGCCGUCCACCUCUUCCCACUAGAAUAUUGGCUCCAUGAGGGCAAGGACUUUGAAUUGUUUGCUGCUGUAUCCUCAGAGCCUGGACUUAAUAAUGAAAAGAAGACUGAAGAUCUAAGUGAUUUUUCCCAAAGACACAGCAAGAAAGUAGCAAAGAACACCUAAAAAUAAAUGCUUAAUUUAAUUACUUAAA